UGUUGCUAGGCAGAUUAAGCACUCCACAUCCAGAAGCUUCUGGAAUUGGGUGUGGUAGUUAUGGGUAUGCAGCCAUGUGCCCUGUGUGAGUUGGGAGAAGCUGAGCCCAUGGAAGCAGGCUAUUGUCCCUAACACUGAAGCAUUUUACAGCAGGGUUUUCUUUAAAUCUAUACACUUGUGACUUAACUGAGUGGUUGGUUAAUCAGUCAGCUGACUGGCUAGCAGCGAUUUCAGCAGAGGAAGAGUCUGCAGGGAUUCCAGCUGAAGAUUUCUACAAGCAAGUGGAGGAAAGAUGUUGUUUUGGACUCAGCAGACUGUUUAGAUUUGGUGAUCAAAGACUCUAACUGAGACUUAGAAUAUCUAUGGACCUGACCUUCAGAGAUGCUGAACGCGAGCAAUUCCCAUUGAUUUCAACUGCAGUUUUGGAUAUUGAGUGCCUCUGAAAAACAGGCCCCUAGCAUUACAGCUGAUGGCUGUUUCACGUUGCUGCUGCCAAGUCUGGAGACAUCAGGCCCUGGAGAGAGAACACAAGGAACUGCAGCCAGCUGACUGACAGGCCUAAAAACACCUGGGAGUGAACUAGCACACAACGAAAAGCAGCUCAGUACAAAAAGAAAUUAGGAGCCCAUUUAUUUUCCAGGAGACAUUUUAUCACCUGCCACUCUCCAUCCCAUUGAAAUAGUGUGGUAAAUUGAGGUGAGUGAAGGGAACUCAGGUAUGUCAAUAAUAGCUGUUUGAGCAAGGGACUGAAGGGAACAGUACAGUCCCUACAUAUACAAAGCACUAUUAGAUGUUGUGGAGGCGGAUGAAAGAAAAUGGAUUUAUACUGGACAGCAGUUAAUAUAUGAAUAUAUUUUAAUUUCAUGUGUCUAGGGUAACUGGCAGAAAGGCAACGUUCUGGCUGAAAGUAGCUGUUUGUACAUGCAAAAUCUGUAUUUAUUAAGUAUUUCAUCAAAGAAAAAGCACCAGUAUUUGUAUUUUAUUGGCUGAGUUGUGGUUCUUAGCCACUGAACUGUAAUAAGGAUGAUUCACAGUCCCAUCACCCCAUGAAGAGCUGCUCUCUGAGGGAUUUUAACUUCCUGAGGCAGUGCUCAUCCUGGACGUCACCUGGAAACAAGAGGGGCAUGGCUACUACACUGCCCUUCAAGAGUGCCCACCUGUGCACCCGGCCAGCUCUGGGGCUCUAGGAAGGACUGUUAUAAUAUCCCCUGUGCAUGGGAUGCAAGGCUGGAAACACUUUGUGCCCACUACACCUGGGUGCACCUGUGCAGGGGCCGGGUCCAAUUUUCAUCUAAGUAUUUUAUCACCACAAUCUUUUAGUAUAAAAAUAAGGAUGACUUAGCUUUUAUGGGAUUUCCAUCAGCUUUCAAGUAAUUUUCUCAGCCACCUUCAUUAAAAAUACACCUCCCUGGAGAAUUCUUUACUAGUCCCUUGGCAAGCCACUUUACACAUUUCAUUGUAUUUUUCAUUUAAAGAAAUACUAAUCUGCUAAAUCCAGAUCUAUUCUUGAAAAGUGAAUGGCCUUGUGUAUGAAUCUGCAUGAGUGAAGUACUCAUGAUGCUCCCUAGUCUAACCCUUUUAUGCAGUUUUUACUUUCAUUAUUUUCAUUAGCUAACAUGUCUCUUCUGAAGAAAUCUGUCAUCUUUUGAAAUGGCUAAUGGACUGCCAAUUGUUGCUUUUUGAGUACAUGUUUUUUAUUUAUAUGUGAAAUAUA